GGACCCGCACAAGCGGUGGAGCAUGUGGUUUAAUUCGACGCAACGCGAAGAACCUUACCAGGGCUUGACAUCCCUUGACAGUCAUGGAAACAUGAUAUUUUAUCUUUCGGGAUAGACAAGGAGACAGGUGGUGCAUGGUUGUCGUCAGCUCGUGUCGUGAGAUGUUGGGUUAAGUCCCGCAACGAGCGCAACCCCUACUUUUAGUUGCCAGCAUAUAAGGUGGGCACUCUAAAGGAACUGCCGGUGACAAACCGGAGGAAGGUGGGGAUGACGUCAAAUCAUCAUGCCCUUUAUGUCCUGGGCUACACACGUGCUACAAUGGCCGGUACAGAGGGAGGCGAAGGAGUGAUCUGGAGCGAAUCCCAAAAAGCCGGUCUCAGUUCGGAUUGCAGGCUGCAACUCGCCUGCAUGAAGUCGGAAUCGCUAGUAAUCGCGAGUCAGCAUAUCGCGGUGAAUACGUUCCCGGGUCUU
rnacentral:rRNA from 1 species